AUACGUAGGGAGCGAGCGUUGUCCGGAAUUACUGGGUGUAAAGGGUGCGUAGGCGGGACGGCAAGUCAGAUGUGAAAUACCGGGGCUCAACCCCGGGCUGCAUUUGAAACUGUCGUUCUUGAGUGAGGUAGAGGUAAGCGGAAUUCCUGGUGUAGCGGUGAAAUGCGUAGAUAUCAGGAGGAACACCGGUGGCGAAGGCGGCUUACUGGGCUUUUACUGACGCUGAGGCUCGAAAGCGUGGGGAGCAAACAGGAUUAGAUGCCCUGGUAGUCCACGCUGUAAACGAUGAUUACUAGGUGUGGGGGGACUGACCCCUUCCGUGCCGCAGUUAACACAAUAAGUAAUCCACCUGGGGAGUACGGCCGCAAGGUUGAAACUCAAAUGAAUUGACGGGG
rnacentral:rRNA from 1 species